ensembl:lncRNA
CAGCAGAGACUCUGCUCUCCUCGUUUGGAUUAAUUCUGAUAUAAUAACUGUUGGUUUAUUUAUCGGUGGAGCAGCAGAACCUUUUCCACAGACAGUUUUCCUGCCCGUUGGCUUGUUUUAACCAGUUUUCUGCCUUCGGCUGAUUCUACCAGCAGACACUGAAAGGACUCUGAUAGUUCGCCACCAACCACUGGAACACAUCUCCAAAGUUCUGCUGGACCAGCUCAGCUUCCCCUCAGAAGAAGUGGCGCCACCUGCCAGAUGAAGGAGCCUUUUGAGAGGCAGCUGGCAUCGUGAUUGGACUGUACUUUGGUCUGUUCCAAUCCAGCUUCAGCUCCAGAGACGGCAGGCGGGACGAGUCAACGGAGGCCGGAUGGACGAAGACAUGCAGCUGAGUACAAUCCAGAAAACAACAGAGGAGGAGUGCAGGGCCCAGAGCCAGAACAACCAGAGUAGCAUCGUAUGUCUCUUAGAAAACAUCAUAGUACAGCCUUUGGUAUGAAAAAACACCAUCAUAUACACUGUAUAUUGUACAAAUAACAAGUCAAAGGAAAGAGACAUACAUUGUAGAAUUGUAGUAAUUGUGGGCUGACUGAUUUACUGAUUAGCAGUAUUUUAUUUUUUACUGAUUUACGGUAAUAAAUACAUUUAAAAAUGGUGCUACUUUGGCUCUGAACCUUUAUCUACCUGUGGUCGCUCUGUCUUCUGGAGUGAUUUGAUUGGUUAUACGUCACGAAUAAAACUCCUUUAACUUAACAUCUGUAAACAAAAC